AGACAAGAGAAAGCUAGGAAUAUUUGUAAACAGGAAAACAAAGAAUGUGGGGGAAAAAAAACACAGAUCUUGAUGAUGUCUCAUAGUUUUGGCUCCGAUUGGAAGACAUGGAAGUCAUCAGCAGUCAGUCGGUUAUAUCAUUAACUCACCUGUGUAUGCGGUGGCUGUGUCCGUGCACCAACUCUGUUAGCCAUAAAAGGACCAGAGAGAGGAUGGAGAGAGGGAGUGCAAACGAGAGAAGGAGAGAGACAGAGUAAGAGAGAAGAGAAAGAAAUGGUGAGAGAGUGAGGAGAGAACACACAUUCCACACUGAGUGAGAAUGAACAGACUACUAUCAUCACUCCAUCACGUCACUCCCCCCAAUUGUUUAGAAUCACAGAAGCCCAGUCUCUCGUGAAUACCAGAAUGCAGUGCGUUAUGUAACAGAAAGAGCAAAAGAGUCAAUUUGGGAGGAGCCGAUCUGGCCAGCCUGCGGGUGAUGUCCGUCCGGGAGGGAGGCUGGUGGUGAGAACUUUGAGGGAGGUCAAAGGUUGUUUAGGGACCCCGCCGGAUCAGGAGUAGUCUCACAGCUAGUUUAGGAACACUGCCGGCUCAGGGGGUUCUCACAGCUCAUUUAGGAACACUGCCGGCUCAGGGGGUUCUCACAGCUCAUUUAGGAACACUGCCGGCUCAGGGGGUUCUCACAGCUCAUUUAGGAACACUGCCGGCUCAGGGGGUUCUCACAGCUCAUUUAGGAACACUGCCGGCUCAGGGGGUUCUCACAGCUCAUUUAGGAACACUGCCGGCUCAGGGGGUUCUCACAGCUCAUUUAGGAACACUGCCGGCUCAGGGGGUUCUCACAGCUCAUUUAGGAACACUGCCGGCUCAGGGGGUUCUCACAGCUCAUUUAGGAACACUGCCGGCUCAGGGGGUUCUCACNNNNNNNNNNACUUGGCUGAUGUGCCCUAUUACCUUGUGUAAUGAUAUUCCUAUCUCCUAGGCCUGUGCAUACUGUAUACAUGGGGAGCACUUAAGGCUGGCCGUCCAUGUAGUUUAUGCCAUACGGCUGUUUCUGUUUCUUCUUACCAGAGGUAUUUUUUCGCAAUGAACGUAGCACUGCCAAGAAGUACAUACUCAUGAUAUAUAAUACACUGAAACAUGUGUUAUGAUGACUAGUAUUUAUUAUGUUUUGUUGUGUCAGCUGAAGCUUGGCCAUAUGAAGGAUUGUUCUGACAAUUGUUCUGUUUUGUUUUACAAUAAGAGCCUUGACUUCAUAAUAAAAGUCCCUGGAGGACAAGGGGUAAGACGUAGGUAAAAAAAAUAAUAAUAAUAAUUUGCAGUAUAGAUACAGAAAGGGUUGGGUAGGUUACUUUCUAAAUGUAAUCCAUUACAGUUACUAGUUACCUGUCCAAAAUUGUAAUCAGUAAC
rnacentral:lncRNA from 13 species